UGGGGAAUAUUGCGCAAUGGGGGAAACCCUGACGCAGCAACGCCGCGUGAGCGAAGAAGGCCUUCGGGUCGUAAAGCUCUGUCUGGAGGGAUGAAUAAUGACAGUACCUCCGGAGGAAGCCCCGGCUAACUACGUGCCAGCAGCCGCGGUAAUACGUAGGGGGCAAGCGUUGUCCGGAAUUACUGGGCGUAAAGGGCGCGUAGGCGGCCUGGUAAGUCAGAUGUGAAAGUCCACGGCUCAACCGUGGAAUUGCAUUUGAAACUGUCAGGCUUGAGUGCAGGAGAGGAGAGCGGAAUUCCUAGUGUAGCGGUGAAAUGCGUAGAUAUUAGGAAGAACACCAGUGGCGAAGGCGGCUCUCUGGACUGUAACUGACGCUGAGGCGCGAAAGCGUGGGGAGCGAACAGGAUUAGAUACCCUGGUAGUCCACGCCGUAAACGAUGAGUGCUAGGUGUUGGGGGUCGAACCUCAGUGCCGCAGUUAACACAUUAAGCACUCCGCCUGGGGAGUACGACCGCAAGGUUG
rnacentral:rRNA from 1 species